UACGUAGGGGGCAAGCGUUGUCCGGAUUUAUUGGGCGUAAAGAGCGUGUAGGCGGCCAUUCAGGUCAGCUGUGAAAACUCGAGGCUCAACCUCGAGACGUCGGUUGAAACCGUUUGGCUAGAGUCCGGAAGAGGAGAGUGGAAUUCCCGGUGUAGCGGUGAAAUGCGCAGAUAUCGGGAAGAACACCCGUGGCGAAGGCGGCUCUCUGGGACGGUACUGACGCUGAGACGCGAAAGCUAGGGGAGCAAACAGG
rnacentral:rRNA from 1 species